rfam:Fulvimarina pelagi HTCC2506 scf_1100011000323 genomic scaffold, whole genome shotgun sequence.
GCCCAAUGUCGCACGUGCCGAUGGGCGUCCCCCGGUCCUCACGAUAGCGAGGAUGAACCGGGACGGUACCUGGACGUAACACACCCAGUCGGUUUCGCGAGCCGCGCGACAACCGAGGACGCUUGAAGCAACGACGGUUCGGGCCUUU